rnacentral:rRNA from 1 species
GAUGAACGCUGGCGGCGUGCCUAACACAUGCAAGUCGAACGGAGAUUACGGACGGAAGUUUUCGGACGGAAGCCUGUAAUUCUUAGUGGCGGACGGGUGAGUAACGCGUGGGCAACCUGCCCUAUACAGGGGGAUAGCAGCUGGAAACGGCUGGUAAGACCGCAUAAGUCGGUUAAAUCGCAUGAUUUGAUCGGGAAAUGAGCAAUCAGGUAUAGGAUGGGCCCGCGUCCGAUUAGCCAGUUGGCAGGGUAAAAGCCUACCAAAGCGACGAUCGGUAGCCGGACUGAGAGGUCGGACGGCCACAUUGGGACUGAGACACGGCCCAAACUCCUACGGGAGGCAGCAGUGGGGGAUAUUGCACAAUGGAGGAAACUCUGAUGCAGCGACGCCGCGUGAGUGAAGAAGUAUUUCGGUAUGUAAAGCUCUAUCAGCAGGGAAGAUGAUGACGGUACCUGACUAAGAAGCCCCGGCUAACUACGUG